AAUAACAAUGGUAUUUUUAUAUAAGCUUAAAGCUUAUUAGUUUUCAUCUGAUCAUUGAAGUUAAGCAAGGUUGAGCCCAGUUAGUACUUAGAUUGGCGACUGUUUGGAAAACUUAGAUGCUGUAAGCA
rnacentral:rRNA from 1 species